rnacentral:rRNA from 1 species
UAAUACGAGGGGGGCGAGCGUUGUUCGGAAUUAUUGGGCGUAAAGGGCGCGUAGGCGGUCGGACAUGUCUUGUGUGAAAUCUUCGGGCUUAACUCGGAGUCUGCACGAGAAACUAUCUGGCUUGAGUGUGGGAGAGGUGAGUGGAAUUCCUGGUGUAGCGGUGAAAUGCGUAGAUAUCAGGAGGAACACCUGUGGCGAAAGCGGCUCACUGGACCACAACUGACGCUGAGGCGCGAAAGCUAGGGGAGCAAACAGGAUUAGAUACCC